UAGGGGGGGACGGGUGAGUAACGCGUGCCGUAACCUGCAUUAUACAGGGGGAUAACAGUCAGAAAGGGCUGCUAAUUACCGCAUAAGCCCCCGAUCCGGCCUCGGUUUGCGGGUUUUGGUUUUUUUCGCUUCUGGGUGGUCUCGCGUCCUCUUAGCUUGUUGGUGCGGUUUCGGCCCCCCCUGGCGUCGCUUGGUAGCCGGCCUGCGCGGUUGUGCGGCCUCGUUGGGNCUGNGCCUCGGCCCGGCCUCCUCCGGGCGGCUGCUGUGGGGGUUCUUGCUCCCUGGGGGCUCCCCUGUGCCCGCGGCGCCGCGUGGCGGCGGGGGGUUUUCGGUUUGUGUGCUCCUGUCGUUCGGGGCGGUCGUGCCGGUUCCUGGCCCGUUUGCUCCGGCUCCCUCCGUGCCCGCUGCCGCGGUCCCNCGUUGGGUGCGGNCGUUGUCCGGAAAUUACUGGGUGUAAGGGGAGCGGCAGGCGGACCGGCAAGUUUGGAAGUGAAAACUAUGGGCUCACCCCAUAAAUUGCUCUCAAAACUGCUGGCCUUGAGUAGUGCAGAGGUAGGUGGAAUUCCCGGUGUAGCGGUGGAAUGCGUAGAUAUCGGGAGGAACACCAGUGGCGAAGGCGACCUACUGGGCACCAACUGACGCUGAGGCUCGAAAGCAUGGGUAGCAAACAGGAUUAGAUACCCUGGUAGUCCAUGCCGUAAACGAUGAUUACUAGGUGUUGGAGGAUUGACCCCUUCAGUGCCGCAGUUAACACAAUAAGUAAUCCACCUGGGGAGUACGACCGCAAGGUUGAAACUCAAAGGAAUUGACGGGGGCCCGCACAAGCAGUGGAGUAUGUGGUUUAAUUCGAAGCAACGCGAAGAACCUUACCAGGUCUUGACAUCCGAUGCAUAGUGCAGAGAUGCAUGAAGUCCUUCGGGACAUCGAGACAGGUGGUGCAUGGUUGUCGUCAGCUCGUGUCGUGAGAUGUUGGGUUAAGUCCCGCAACGAGCGCAACCCUUAUUGCCAGUUACUACGCAAGAGGACUCUGGCGAGACUGCCGUUGACAAAACGGAGGAAGGUGGGGAUGACGUCAAAUCAUCAUGCCCUUUAUGACCUGGGCUACACACGUACUACAAUGGCGUUUAACAAAGAGAAGCAAGACCGCGAGGUGGAGCAAAACUCAAAAACAACGUCUCAGUUCAGAUUGCAGGCUGCAACUCGCCUGCAUGAAGUCGGAAUUGCUAGUAAUCGCGGAUCAGCAUGCCGCGGUGAAUACGUUCCCGGGCCUUGCACUCACCGCCCGUCA
rnacentral:rRNA from 1 species